AACGCACAUUGCACUCUUUUCGAGUAUGCCUGUUUGAGAAUCUAUAGUCUUUAUUUUUGUGUAUGCUUUUUAGGAAGUAUAGGCAAGAGAUAUGGGGUUUCCCUCGCAAGGGGGUACUCUGAAAUAGAUUGCCUCUGUUUUGAUAGACUCGACGAAGUUUUUCAAUCCUGCAGAAAAGUAUUUGAAUGGAACUGUGGUUUCUCGAUAUGCUGAAUAUGUGGGGGAAAGAUGGAGAAUCUAUUGGGCAGAUGUCCAUACCCUAUAAGGCGGUCUUAGGAUCGGCUUGAACCAUGGUCUCAAAUCAGGUAGGAAGACCCGCUGAACUUAAG
rnacentral:misc_RNA from 1 species